UUACACAUGCAGUCGAGCGGAUGUGAUGUAGCUUGCUCCUUUACCUAGCGGCGGACGGGUGAGUAAUGCUUAGGAAUCUGCCUGUUAGUGGGGGACAACAUUCCGAAAGGAAUGCUAAUACCGCAUACGCCCUACGGGGGAAAGCAGGGGAUCUUCGGACCUUGCGCUAAUAGAUGAGCCUAAGUCGGAUUAGCUAGUUGGUGGGGUAAAGGCCUACCAAGGCGACGAUCCGUAGCGGGUCUGAGAGGAUGAUCCGUCACACUGGAACUGAGACACGGCCCAGACUCCUACGGGAGGCAGCAGUGGGGAAUAUUGGACAAUGGGCGAAAGCCUGAUCCAGCCAUGCCGCGUGUGUGAAGAAGGUCUUUUGGUUGUAAAGCACUUUAAGCGAGGAGGAGGCUACUUGGAUUAAUACUCUGCGAUAGUGGACGUUACUCGCAAAAUAAGCACCGGCUAAUUCUGUGCCAGCAGCCGCGGUAAUACAAAGGGUGCGAGCGUUAAUCGGAUUUACUGGGCGUAAAGCGUGCGUAGGCGGCUUCUUAAGUCGGAUGUGAAAUCCCUGAGCUUAACUUAGGACUUGCAUUCGAUACUGGGAAGCUAGAGUAUGGGAGAGGAUGGGUAGAAUUCCAGGUGUAGCGGUGAAAUGCGUAAAGAUCUGGAGGAAUACCGAUGGCGAAGGCAGCCAUCUGGGCUGAAUACU
rnacentral:rRNA from 1 species